AACGCGAAGAACCUUACCUACCCUUGACAUGCCCGGAAGCCCGGUGAGAGCUGGGGGUGCCCGAAAGGGAGCCGGGACACAGGUGCUGCAUGGCUGUCGUCAGCUCGUGUCGUGAGAUGUUGGGUUAAGUCCCGCAACGAGCGCAACCCUUGCCUGUAGUUGCCACAUUCAGUUGGGCACUCUACUGGGACUGCCGGUGACAAACCGGAGGAAGGUGGGGAUGACGUCAAGUCCUCAUGGCCCUUAUGGGUAGGGCUUCACACGUAAUACAAUGGCGCGUACAGAGGGUUGCCAACCCGCGAGGGGGAGCCAAUCCCAGAAAGCGCGUCGUAGUCCGGAUUGCAGUCUGCAACUCGACUGCAUGAAGUCGGAAUCGCUAGUAAUCGCGAAUCAGCCAUGUCGCGGUGAAUACGUUCCCGGGUCUUGUACACACGC
rnacentral:rRNA from 1 species